rnacentral:rRNA from 1 species
CACGUAGGAGACAAACGUUAUCCGGAGUUACUGGGCGUAAAGGGCGUGUAGGUGGUAUCGUAAGUCUGGCGUGAAAUUUCUCGGCUUAACCGAGGCAGGUCGUCGGAUACUGCGAGGCUAGAGGACGGUAGAGGCGUGUGGAAUUCCGGGUGUAGUGGUGAAAUGCGUAGAGAUCCGGAGGAACACCAGUGGCGAAGGCGACACGCUGGGCCGUACCUGACACUGAUGCGCGACAGCAUGGGGAGCAAACAGG